ACCAGGUGUGGUGGUGCACAUUUGUAGUCCCAGCUACUUCGGAGGCUGAAACAGGAGGAUUGCUUGAUGUCAGGAGUUCUGAGUUGUGGUGAGCUGUGCCGAUUGGGUGUCAGAACUAAGUCCGGCGUCAAUAUGAUGACCUCCCGGGAGUAGGGGACCACCAGCUUGCCUAAAGAGGUGUGGACUGGCCCAGGUCUGAAAUAGAACAGGUCAAAAACUCCCAUGCUGGUCAGUAGAGGGAUGGAGCCUGUGAAUAGCCACUUCACUCUAACCUGGGCAACAUAUUUGUGGUGGCUCUUGC
rnacentral:SRP_RNA from 1 species